AAAAUUGAGACAACUUGCAGGUCGCCAUUUUAAUUCAAGCUUCCAACAAGACCGAGGCCCACUUGCAGUCCUUUCAAGGCCGGGUGGGUUAGGGUGGGGGAAUUGCGCUUUAGGUUUCGGUGUCGCCUUUCUCCUCCACUCCCGCUGCUCUCACCGCCCCCCGCCCCUUGGAGCCGGAGGAGGACCUCUUUUCCGCCUGUCCACGGCAGCAGGGGCUGCUCCAGUUGUCCCACCCGGUAACUGGAGACUGUCGUGCCGAGGGAGUCGGUGCCCACACUGGGGGAUCGUGGCUAGCUGCGAGAGUGCUCAGAGUGCCUCUCCUCCGUAUUAGUCCCAGCCCUUUGCCUGUGUCCACCCCAUAAAGUUCCGGGUCCCGGGGCGUCCUCUGUCCAGGCAAAAGAGUGUCCAGCACUCUGGGGGGUAUAUUUUCGGCUCCCAGUUUCGGAACCAAGAAUCUCCCACCCAGUGGUCGAAACCUUCAAACUCUUGCUUUCACUUAGCCAAGCUGACAGGCACGGUGCAGGCGCGCUGGAAAUGGUAAAGCCUGGAAUUUUUUGAUAGAAAGUCUCUACAAACGUCUGCAUCACUUUGCAUAGCUCUAAACGUCUCCAUCUGCAGACCCUGGGAAAAAUGGGUUCCUUGGUUGGCGGAACUGACAAACCGGUCAAACCAUCACCAAAGGCAAAGGCCUCUCACCCCGGCCCCCCCAGUCCGGGGUGCUUCCUUGUUUCAGGCCUUUCUCCUCUUUUCCCCAGCAACCUGCCGGGUUUCCACCCCCCCCCCUGCAGUCUGGCCAAGUCCACAGCUUAGGGAAGCCGAGGGGAUCCCAGAGACCUCCCUGCGGCGCCUCCAAGCUGUGUCCACGCUUGGCUGAAGGAAGCUAGGUGCCCUCGUCCUUCCUGCCAAAUGGUUGGUGCGUUAGGGGGCUCUCUGGGACCGGUCCUCUUUCCGUUUAUACUGGUCGGCAAGUAUCUCUCCCGGUCCAUGUCCCCCCUUUAAAACAACAUUGUCCAGCUGGGUGUCCCAGAAAAGAGAUUUCUUAAAGUCCGUGGAUCUGACUCCCAACACUGCCUCCCGGACUCUACAUGUAGUUGUCUAGAUAGGGACAGAUUAAAGCUCAUCAGAUUUAGGGCCCUUGAAAACAGCAGCACUCUGGGAUUCUUAGAAAUAGGGUUACCUAGCAAAGUCUGCUUUCCAUUUCCUCACCUUGAGUGGAUCCCUCAACACUCCUUUCCCUGUUACCUUCGCCACCCCCCCCCCAAAAAAAAAGCUAGAGUUCAGCUUCAAAAAGAAAAGCAAGCCAAGGUCUCUUCUCCCAAGAGAUUUGCUCUCCAAACCCUCUUCCAAAGGCCAGACCAAGUCCUGUAAUUUGUCCAGUCUUGGAUCUAGGAACCUGCCGACCAGGAACUGAGGGCUCUGGGGCUGGGGAGCAGGAAAGAGCAAAUGUCAUGGCUGGCUCAUUCCAGCAACCGGGAACCAGAGCUGAGGACAUCCUGACGAGGCUUUUAAAAUGACAUUGAUUGGGACAAGCUGUUCCCAACAGCAGAAAGAGUUAAUCUUCCUGUUAAUCAAGGCACUAAGGGGCUCAAUGCGAGUUUUAUUAGCGACUGAAGAACAGAGGCGGCAAGCGAGGGAUCAAAAGCUGGGAUCCCAGAUAUUUUGUCAGCGCGUGCUCUCCAGGAAAAAAAAAAAAUGUAUUUUCAAUUAGAGAACAAUUCGGCACUUUUCAUCAUUUCCUAACCCAGCCACACAGAUGGUGACUUACAAACCUGGCGAGAGGGGAAAACUCGAUGCCCAGGGGGCAGCCAGGGGACCAAGGGGCGGGGAGGAGGUGAGGGUAGCCUCUUCGGAGUUCGGCGGGGAGAAUUUAAGAACCCUCAGUCGGGGGCCCAGAAGCCUCCAAUUCCUUCAGAGUGGAAAGAUGAUGAAAAGUGAAGCAACAGACACAACCACUAAUAUCCUCAUCCAUUCCUCCAGGUCAGCGCCCUACUCCCCAGGCGCGAGUGGAGUCCAGACCCCUCGCGCCACGGCCCCACCGACUGGAAACUUUGCGCAGAGAAAGAGACUCUCCUCCCUUCUCUCCCGCGCUGCCCCCUUCUGCCCCGGAGGGGCGUUGGAUUCCCUUCGGUUUUCCUUUCAAAUUCUAAAAAAAAAUAAACUCCCGGGCCGUGAGGAAAUCUGAAUAGCACCCCCUCCAAUAAUCCAAAUUAUAUGAGAGGAUCUGAAGGAAAAAAGACCAACCACAUACAUCCUCCCAUCGAGGAGGGCACCGGAGUGAGAAGGCAACAGAGGAGGUCCCUGGCUUGCCCUGAGCGCAGGGCGAGGACUCUGGUCAGAGGUAAUUAUGUCACCGCGUUUUCUCGCCGUGACAGCCGAAUAAACACAAUCUCCAAUAAACAUCUCUAAUGAGGGAGGAGGCCCGAGGAUGGCUGGGUUUGAUUUAUGACUGGAGGACAAGGUCCACUUCCCACUGCGAAGCAGGCAACCUGCUCAUCGCCCGGCUCUGGGGAAAGGAAUCUAUGGAGGAAAGGACCCCGACCCAGGAAGAACUUGGACUCAGUGAAUCUUCCUUUCUGAAGCUGCCUGCCCACCUCACACAGAGACUAAGAAAAGCUUUGAGUUGGAGAAGGGCUGGGGAUUGAACCCAGGGCCUUGUAUACGGGAGAUAAACACUCUACCAAUUGAGCUAUAUCCCCAGCCCACAAAUCCGAAUUUUAUGCUCUGUACAAGCACAUCUCAAGGCAGAGGAGUAAAAAAGGAAGAAGAAGAAAAAAAGCCGACAUCUUAGCAUGAAAUUCUGGCCCAUUGAGACCCUGCAGAGAAGAUAAUAACAGCUAUCAACCACUGUUGCUCCGGCUCCUUUCACCUGAAGCAGAGACUUCCCAGGCUGCAGGGAGACUGAUGUGUGGGAUAUGAAGUGGGUGGCAGGGCUGGGCCUUGCAUGCUUUCCUGACUUGGUUGGUUCAUGGCCUCCAGGACAGAAGGAGUGCAACUAUUAGAACAGAAACGCCUGUGAAUUACAGUGGCCAGGGUCAAUGAUUUGUUGUGACACAUAGGAUGCUUCCUAGAGUCCAUAUUAUUAAAUUAGACAAUUAUUAAAAUUAGACAUUUUAGCACAAUUUUAUCCAAUUGUGAAAACAUUACAGGCAAUGUUUUUUUGCCAAGGGUCAGAUUGUAACUAUUUUCAGUAGGUAGGCAGUCUCCAUCAGAAUUAUUCAUCUCUGCCUUUUUCAUAUCAAAAGCAGCUACAGGCAGUACAUAAAUGAGUGGACAUGGCUGUGUUCCAACGUAACUUUUUUUACAAAAGGCAGUCCAGAUUGGGCCCGAGGGCCAUGCCUUUGAUUGAAAUUUCAAUCCGUGUUUUUGUUCUGUUAUGAUUGACAGUCUCGAAGACUACAGUUAUUUUGUGGAAAGUCCUUCAGUUGGUUUUCACUAGCAUUUCUUCACGAUUAAAUUUAAGUUAUAUAAUUUUGGCAGGAAUAUCCCAGAAGUGAUGUUGGGCCCUAUCAGCACAUCACAGUAGGAGGCACAGGGUGCGGCUUGGUCCCAUUAUUGAUGUUGAACCAGAUACUAUUUAAAAUGAGGGAUUUGAGCAGUUUCAAACACAGUAAGAAGUAACUCCACCGACAGGAGCAGAGUGAACUGGGCGAGGAAAAGCAGCAUCCGAGCCUGGCUAGAGCACAAAAUGUAUGGAUAGGAAUAACUAUCAGUAACAAUAAUGAGGUAUUAUUUAUUGAACACAAGUUUUAUUUAUUUAUUUAUUUAAUUUUUUUUAGUUGUUGAUGGAUCUUUAUUUA